rnacentral:rRNA from 1 species
UGGGGGAUAUUGCACAAUGGGCGAAAGCCUGAUGCAGCGACGCCGCGUGGGGGAUGAAGGCUUUCGGGUUGUAAACCUCUUUCGCUAUCGAACAAGGCCCGCUUAGGGUGGGUUGAGGGUAGGUGGAGAAGAAGCGCCGGCUAACUACGUGCCAGCAGCCGCGGUAAUACGUAGGGCGCGAGCGUUGUCCGGAAUUAUUGGGCGUAAAGGGCUUGUAGGCGGCUUGUUGCGCCUGCUGUAAAAACGCGGGGCUUAACUUCGCGCGUGCAGUGGGUACGGGCAGGCUUGAGUGUGGUAGGGGUGACUGGAAUUCCAGGUGUAGCGGUGGAAUGCGCAGAUAUCUGGAGGAACACCGAUGGCGAAGGCAGGUCACUGGGCCAUUACUGACGCUGAGGAGCGAAAGCAUGGGUAGCGAACAGG